rnacentral:rRNA from 1 species
ACCGGGAAUCAAGGUUCGAUUCCAGAGAGGGAGCCUGAGAAACGGCUACCACAUCUAAGGAAGGCAGCAGGCACGCAAAUUACCCACUCCUGGCAUGGGGAGGUAGUGACGAAAAAUAACAAUGCGAGUGCUCGAAAGGGUGCUUGCAAUUGUAAUGAGUACACUUUAAAUCCUUUUGCAAGUACCAAUUGGAGGGCAAGUCUGGUGCCAGCAGCUGCGGUAAUUCCAGCUCCAAUAGCACAUGUCAGAGUUGCUGCGGUUAAAAAGCUCGUAGUUGAGCUUUUCUUUGCUGGUAUGACAUUCCGUUUGGUGUAGCCUGCUCGACAUGCCGGUGAGUUAUUUUCCCGGCGACAGUGUUGAUGCAUGGCAUCGCCAUCGGAGUCAAUAUCAAGUCCAGCAUAUCCGCAGGAAACGACCCUUUAACAAGGGGAUUGUUUCCAUACUGUUGGCUCACACGGGGUGCUCUUAACUGAGUGUGUCGAGUGGCUAACAUGUUUACUUUGACAAAAUUAGAGUGCUUAAAACAGGCAAUAUAUAGCCUGAACAAAAGUUCAUAGCAUAAUAAAAAAAGAUUUGGGGCCUAUUUUUCUCCUUGGAGUGAAUUUGGAGAGAGAGAGAUUAUACAAAUGUCUUAGUCUGGGAAUGUAUAUCUCAUGCCGGUUUGCAUAGAGCCGGAGAUAAUGAUUAAUGGAACCAUAUGGGGGCAUUUGUACUGCGACGCGAGAGGUGAAAUUCUAUGACCGUCGCAAGACAACCCAAAGCGAAAGCAUUUGCCAUGGAUGUUUUCAUUAAUCAGGAACCAAAGUUAGAGGUUCGAAGGCGAUCAGAUACCGCCCUAGUUCUAACCAUAAACUAUGCUAACCAGCAAUCUGUCACCGAUCAUACCAGAUCAGACAGGACUCUUCCGGGAAACCAAAGUCUUUGAGUUCCGGGGGGAGUAUGGUUGCAAAGUCGAAACUUAAAGGAAUUGACGGAAAGGCACCACCAGGAGUGGAGCCUGCGGCUUAAUUUGACUCAACACGGGAAACCUCACCAGGUCCGGACACUAUGAGGAUUGACAGAUUGAAAGCUCUUUCUCGAUUUAGUGGGUGGUGGUGCAUGGCCGUUCUUAGUUGGU